GCUCUUUCGAUCUGGGAUACGUUGCAAUUGGGGCUCCGCCCUGUUCGUGUCUCCGGUCACGUGGUGACAAAUC